rnacentral:rRNA from 1 species
UGGGGAAUAUUGCACAAUGGGCGCAAGCCUGAUGCAGCCAUGCCGCGUGUGUGAAGAAGGCCUGGUUGUAAGCACUUUCAGCGAGGAGGAAGGUGGUGAGCUUAAUACGCUCAUCAAUUGACGUUACUCGCAGAAGAAGCACCGGCUAACUCCGUGCCCG